UAUGGCUCAGAUUGAACGCUGGCGGCAGGCCUAACACAUGCAAGUCGAGCGGAUGACGGGAGCUUGCUCCUUGAUUCAGCGGCGGACGGGUGAGUAAUGCCUAGGAAUCUGCCUGGUAGUGGGGGACAACGUUUCGAAAGGAACGCUAAUACCGCAUACGUCCUACGGGAGAAAGCAGGGGACCUUCGGGCCUUGCGCUAUCAGAUGAGCCUAGGUCGGAUUAGCUAGUUGGUGGGGUAAUGGCUCACCAAGGCGACGAUCCGUAACUGGUCUGAGAGGAUGAUCAGUCACACUGGAACUGAGACACGGUCCAGACUCCUACGGGAGGCAGCAGUGGGGAAUAUUGGACAAUGGGCGAAAGCCUGAUCCAGCCAUGCCGCGUGUGUGAAGAAGGUCUUCGGAUUGUAAAGCACUUUAAGUUGGGAGGAAGGGCAGUAAGYUAAUACCUUGCUGUUUUGACGUUACCGACAGAAUAAGCACCGGCUAACUCUGUGCCAGCAGCCGCGGUAAUACAGAGGGUGCAAGCGUUAAUCGGAAUUACUGGGCGUAAAGCGCGCGUAGGUGGUUUGUUAAGUUGGAUGUGAAAGCCCCGGGCUCAACCUGGGAACUGCAUCCAAAACUGGCAAGCUAGAGUACGGUAGAGGGUGGUGGAAUUUCCUGUGUAGCGGUGAAAUGCGUAGAUAUAGGAAGGAACACCAGUGGCGAAGGCGACCACCUGGACUGAUACU
rnacentral:rRNA from 1 species